rnacentral:rRNA from 1 species
UUGAGUUUGAUCAUGGCUCAGAUUGAACGCUGGCGGCAGGCCUAACACAUGCAAGUCGAGCGGAAACGAUGGAAGCUUGCUUCCAGGCGUCGAGCGGCGGACGGGUGAGUAACGCAUGGGAAUCUGCCCGAUAGUGGGGGAUAACCUGGGGAAACCCAGGCUAAUACCGCAUACGUCCUACGGGAGAAAGCAGGGGAUCUUCGGACCUUGCGCUAUCGGAUGAGCCCAUGUCGGAUUAGCUUGUUGGUGAGGUAAUGGCUCACCAAGGCGACGAUCCGUAGCUGGUCUGAGAGGAUGAUCAGCCACAUCGGGACUGAGACACGGCCCGAACUCCUACGGGAGGCAGCAGUGGGGAAUAUUGGACAAUGGGCGAAAGCCUGAUCCAGCCAUGCCGCGUGUGUGAAGAAGGCCCUCGGGUUGUAAAGCACUUUCAGUGGGGAAGAAAGCCUUGGGAUUAAUACUCCCGAUGGACACGGAACAUC